GACAGAGGGUGCAAACGUUGUUCGGAAUUACUGGGCGUAAAGCGUGUGUAGGCGGUCUAACAAGUCGGAUGUGAAAGCCCCGGGCUCAACCCGGGAAGUGCACUCGAAACUGUUAGACUUGAGUGUCGGAGAGGUGGGUAGAAUUCUCGGUGUAGAGGUGAAAUUCGUAGAUAUCGAGAGGAAUACCGGCGGCCGAAGGCGGCCCACUGGACGAACACUGACGCUGAGACACGAAAGCGUGGGGAGCAACAGGAUUAGAUACCCGUUG
rnacentral:rRNA from 1 species